UACGGGGGGUGCGAGCGUUGUCCGGAAUCACUGGGCGUAAAGGGCGCGUAGGUGGUCUGAUAAGGGUGUGGUGAAAGCCCGGGGCUCAACCCCGGGUCGGCCGUGCCGACUGUUAGACUAGAGUGCUGUAGGGGCAGGCGGAAUUCCGGGUGUAGCGGUGGAAUGCGUAGAGAUCCGGAGGAAGACCGGUGGCGAAGGCGGCCUGCUGGCAGAUACUGACACUGAGGCGCGACAGCGUGGGGAGCAAACAGG
rnacentral:rRNA from 1 species